rnacentral:rRNA from 1 species
AACGAACGCUGGCGGCAGGCCUAACACAUGCAAGUCGAGCGAGGACUUCGGUUCUAGCGGCGGACGGGUGAGUAACGCGUGGGAAUGUGCCCUUCUCUACGGAAUAGCCCUGGGAAACUGGGAGUAAUACCGUAUACGCCCUAUUGGGGAAAGAUUUAUCGGAGAAGGAUCAGCCCGCGUUGGAUCAGGUAGUUGGUGGGGUAAUGGCCUACCAAGCCGACGAUCCAUAGCUGGUUUGAGAGGAUGAUCAGCCACACUGGGACUGAGACACGGCCCAGACUCCUACGGGAGGCAGCAGUGGGGAAUCUUAGACAAUGGGGGCAACCCUGAUCUAGCCAUGCCGCGUGAGUGAUGAAGGCCUUAGGGUUGUAAAGCUCUUUCAGCUGGGAAGAUAAUGACGGUACCAGCAGAAGAAGCCCCGGCUAACUCCGUG